GGUUUUCAGACAGCCUCUUUCUCUCCACUGGAACUUAUAUCUACUCUACGCCUACACACACCCACAAGGAAGACACACACACGCUCUAACUUGCUCUAUAGCCUCUUCGGUGGGCAAAUCUAGCAGACUGCGGAUGAGAGCUUAGUUAUUGUGUGUCUAUGAUGGUACUUUAAACUGUUGGUCAUCUAUAACAUAUAGCUCACGUGGUGUACAUCAGUUUAAGCAACUUUCAGUUUUGAGAGCUUGUGUUUGGAAAUGGUUUGGCUCCGUGGAUCUAAAGUGCUGUCCCUGCUGUUGACAGUGUCUCUCUGUCUCUGUGUGUCACCUUCUCUAGACACAGGUGCCGUAUUGUUGAAGUACACCAAGACUCCUAUGGUUGGGACUGAGAGCAUGCCCUUGAGGCUCAUCUGUAAGGCAGUGUAUGACACAAAACAAUGUGGUCGUAUUGAUGCCUUUUGGUGUCAUCACACUUUGGAAGAGUGUCCCAAGCUCAUUGACCUCGGCAAGUACCACACUGUUGUCAACGAGAUGGUUACGGAGGACUACAGUGUCAGACAUAGACACGUUGUAACAGACUUCAUAGAACUGACCCCUGCUGACCGAGGAGUCUAUCAGUGCAAUGCAGUAUGUGAAAUGGGAGGCCAUACUGCCAUGGGACACUACAUAAAUAUCACAGUCAAAGGUACCAUUACAUUUUUCAGUUAAUUUUUGUUAGCAGUUACUCUAACCCGCAGCGACGUACAAUAACAACAUCCAACUAAGGUGAAACAACCAUGUAGCAUGAUCAUCAGUCAAUCAAUUAAACAAUCAACAAACCAACCAAUUAAUCACUAAUUUUGAUUUCUAACCCUAUAACAGCAGCUCCAAUAAUAGUUGAUCAAAGAAAGGCCAACAAUGGUGGACUGAACUGGACAUACAGCACUGGCACAAUACUGUGGUCCCUUCUCCUAAUACUGGAGUUACUUGAGGCAAGAUCAAUAACAAAGUAACACAGAAAAAAUGCACUUGUACAUUUAUACUUCGCAGCCAAUCAUAACUUAAUGUAGAUCUUUUGGGGUGAAGUCUCUUGUUUAUGAAUGAUUAUUUGUGUUUAACAGGUUAAUCAUUGAGCUGGUCUGGUAGCUGAUGGCAGAUGGCGUCAAGGCUGAAAAUGACCUAUCAAUUAUAAUGGAGAUACCAUCUACGAUACAGCUUUACAGUAUAUCAAACCCAAACAUUUAACUGAAUUGUUUUACAUACAGUGCCUUGCGAAAGUAUUCGGCCCCCUUGAACUUUGCGACCUUUUGCCACAUUUCAGGCUUCAAACAUAAAGAUAUAAAACUGUAUUUUUUUGUGAAUAAUCAACAACAAGUGGGACACAAUCAUGAAGUGGAAGGACAUUUAUUGGAUAUUUCAAACUUUUUUAACAAAUCAAAAACUGAAAAAUUGGGCGUGCAAAAUUAUUCAGCCCCCUUAAGUUAAUACUUUGUAGCGCCACCUUUUGCUGCGAUUACAGCUGUAAGUCGCUUGGGGUAUGUCUCUAUCAGUUUUGCACAUCGAGAGACUGACAUUUUUUCCCAUUCCUCCUUGCAAAACAGCUCGARCUCAGUGAGGUUGGAUGGAGAGCAUUUGUGAACAGCAGUUUUCAGUUCUUUCCACAGAUUCUCGAUUGGAUUCAGGUCUGGACUUUGACUUGGCCAUUCUAACACCUGGAUAUGUUUAUUUUUGAACCAUUCCAUUGUAGAUGUUGCUUUAUGUUUUGGAUCAUUGUCUUGUUGGAAGACAAAUCUCCGUCCUAGUCUCAGGUCUUUUGCAGACUCCAUCAGGUUUUCUUCCAGAAUGGUCCUGUAUUUGGCUCCAUCCAUCUUCCCAUCAAUUUGAACCAUCUUCCCUGUCCCUGCUGAAGAAAAGCAGGCCCAAACCAUGAUGCUGCCACCACCAUGUUUGACAGUGGGGAUGGUGUGUUCAUGGUGAUGAGCUGUGCUGCUUUAACGCCAAACAUAACGUUUUGCAUUGUUGCCAAAAAGUUCCAUUUUGGUUUCAUCUGACCAGAGCACCUUCUUCCACAUGUUUGGUGUGUCUCCCAGGUGGCUUGUGGCAAACUUUAAACAACACUUUUUAUGGAUAUCUUUAAGAAAUGGCUUUCUUCUUGCCACUCUUCCAUAAAGGCCAGAUUUGUGCAAUAUACGACAGAGUCUCCCACCUCAGCUGUAGAUCUCUGCAGUUCAUCCAGAGUGAUCAUGGGCCUCUUGGCUGCAUCUCUGAUCAGUCUUCUCCUUGUAUGAGCUGAAAGUUUAGAGGGAUGGCCAGGUCUUGGUAGAUUUGCAGUGGUCUGAUACUCCUUCCAUUUCAAUAUUAUCGCUUGCACUGUGCUCCUUGGGAUGUUUAAAGCUUGGGAAAUCUUUUUGUAUCCAAAUCCGGCUUUAAACUUCUUCACAACAGUAUCUCGGACCUGCCUGGUGUGUUCCUUGUUCUUCAUGAUGCUCUCUGCGCUUUUAACGGACCUCUGAGACUAUCACAGUGCAGGUGCAUUUAUACGGAGACUUGAUUACACACAGGUGGAUUGUAUUUAUCAUCAUUAGUCAUUUAGGUCAACAUUGGAUCAUUCAGAGAUCCUCACUGAACUUCUGGAGAGAGUUUGCUGCACUGAAAGUAAAGGGGCUGAAUAAUUUUGCACGCCCAAUUUUUCAGUUUUUGAUUUGUUAAAAAAGUUUGAAAUAUCCAAUAAAUGUCGUUCCACUUCAUGAUUGUGUCCCACUUGUUGUUGAUUCUUCACAAAAAAAUACAGUUUUAUAUCUUUAUGUUUGAAGCCUGAAAUGUGGCAAAAGGUCGCAAAGUUCAAGGGGGCCGAAUACUUUCGCAAGGCACUGUAUGUACAAAUAAGUAGCCUUUUGGCUCAAACGACUACAACAUUUAUAGUCAUUGGCUAAUAGUUUACUUAACAUUUACGAAAAAUAAAAAUGUGUUAUAAACCAGCUUCAAACAUGUAUGUUGGAAGACAGGAGGGUUUGUACUACUUAAAUUAAAAUUCAAUUUCAUGGAAUUUCAAUGGAAUGGAAUACUCAUUUGUUCGCUUGAUCACAAUUUUUUUCCAGUUGGCAUGCGUGCCUAUUUCUGUUUAAUUUUGUUCUCUCCCCUGUUCUUGCCACGGUGGGCUAUCUCUCUACACCUCUCAGGUCUGUGUCUGUUAGAGGAAAUGCCCAUACAGGACAGGAAACCACACAUAGCAUUUGCACAAUGUGAGCAGAGGUAGUCGCAGUCCAUGUGGUUGGAAGGGUGAGGGGGAGUAAAAGGGUCUGGUAGUCUUGUGAUGUUCAUUAUAUCUCAGUUUAAUUUGAAGGCGCAGGAGUGCACUGUCAUACUUUUUGUUCUAGUUGUCCAUACAUGCCUUUUUUUUGUUUGUUUGUUUGUUCUCUCCCCUGUUCUUG
rnacentral:lncRNA from 1 species